GCUGCGUAUAACCCUUAGAGUAUAAAGUCACCUGUUUCUUCACUGGCUCUUUGUCUUCCACUCUGCAGACUGUUUGCACUCUGUAUGUUUGUCUGACCCUUUGCAAAGAAUAAAACCCUUAAAAGACGUCUGGAUUGGAAUCUUUAUUUCAGAAGACUCACUAAAGGACAGAUUUCCAUAUUUCCAUCCCCCGGACCGUUGCCACUACCAUCUCAAAAAGAGUUGGACCUACGUUGUCCUUAAAAACGAAGUCAUGGAAGCCAGUCCGGCUGAUCCAGUCCUUGACUCCACUCCUCCUUCUCCAAUGUGCUCCAGUCUGAGAUCCAGCCCAGGAUGAAGACUAUGCUGAUGUUAAAAUUGCUGCUGAAACAUGACACCGUAAUCCAUAGAGAGAUGAUGAACUAAUGCAACAUUAAAGACCUACAGAAGCACUGUUCUGGUCCGGUAACAGUAAUGCAACACAUCGUAUUGCCCAGUUAUGGACAUGCCAAUUAUAAAAGGAAUAUUUGGUAUUUAAGAGCAAAAUGUACUGCUCAGGUUAAAACAACCAUUGAACUAGUUCCUGUAACAUCUUUUUACACACCAUGGUUAAAACAUUAAACUAUGACCUCAUGUCUGAUGUGCAAACUGAAUGAGAGUCUAUAGCUAUAAUUAACACAAAGUUUGAUUUGAUUUGAUUUUUGACGAUUUGAUGUGUGAAAUAAUAUUUACCAAAAAAAAAGAAGUGCUUGGAAAUAUUAAACAUGUUUUCUUUUUGUUCACUGCUACAGGCUGGAGGGACCUGUACGCACCUACAUUUUCAAAAAGAUUGUGAUAAAGGCCGAGCAGCAGAGCAACAGAGUGGUGGUAAAUGCAUUAGUGCACCCGCGAGCACUACAGGUUUAAAGAUUUCACAUUAUUGGUUACAUCAAAGACCACACAUUUCUCUGUUGGUGAUUUGACAAAGGUCUGUUUUUAAAAUUUUACAUUUCCCGCGCGGCAGUCGGUUUCCGUUUUGCAGUCCAUCACACGAAGCAUUCUGAGAUGAUCAUUGUGUUGCUAAAGCGGUUCGCCCACAAUGGCCACACACAAGGCUGUCUGUCUGUCUCUAAUUGCAAUUCGAAUAGACAAAAUAACUUCUCUGGGAAUGUGAUCACGAUGAGAGUAAAGCUCUCUCUCCCAAUGCAUACAAGCCUUUUCAUCUAUUCCAAAACCAAUCCCCAUAAAGAGGUGAUGAUGAUUUUACUGAGAAAGAAUGAACAGAGAGAUAAAUCUCUCUCCCAUGAUUCUUGGUAAAAUAAGAUAAGAUAAGAUAAGAAAAUCUUUAUUUGUACCACAGUGGGGAAAUUGCAGUUUGCAACAGCAAAGCCAAGAGCAGAGAUAGAUAAGUGUACAAAGUAGCAUAAACAAGUGUCAAACAAAGAAGUACCGUUCUUACAUUAAAAAAAAACAAAAAUUACUGUACAUUACAUAAGAACUAACGAUGCACUUGACUGACUUGACCUGUUGAAGCUGAGCUGACAGAGCCUCACUGACUGAAAUGGCUCUCUAUAGACUACCUGUACUCAAAUACUACAAAGACCUGACCUACGUUCUUACUUAGGCUGCUGACCAAAGGACGAUCACAUGACCUGUUUUAACACUACAUCUUGGAAGCAAACCAGAUGCCUGGUGCUUAUUGUCAUGUUGCUUGCUGUGUCUGUUGCUUUUAUCUUAUGCUGGAUGUUUCUUUGUGUGCUGCUGCCAUGUUGAUGAUAAAAUGUGAUGCACGCUAACAGAUUGACGCCAUUUUUACAGGAAAAGAAUGGCCCUGCUCAUUCCUUGUUGUUUGAUGUUAUUGUUUAAACCCAUUUCUUUUUUAAACAUGGUCCAGAGUUUUUCCCAUGCACUCUCCUCCACAGAGAAAAGGGGGAACUGAAUGCAAAACUAAGUCGUUCAUUGUUAGAGAUGGAAUGAAAUGUGAGCAACAAGUCUGUGUGUGAGGUGUGUUAUCAGACACGGACAUGGAAGCUCAAGGUUGAAACUCCUUCAGAGACGGUGUUUUACACUCACAGAGCAGAGUGUCACCCAGAAUAACAUGCUCUAAUUUGUUUUUAUUUACAGUAAAAUGAGUGACGUGAUCAUAUAAUGGAUUGAACUAACAUCAUGUGAAUGAAUUACUGUCUUGUUGUUGUUGACAUUGUUGAAAGUUUUUCCCUCUCCUAAACAGGAGCAGUAGCCAGAGCCUAAUAUCUAACACUAACCGAUUUUUCUUCUUCCUUUUUAUUUUAGCCUUUCUAGAAAACUACAGAGUGCUGGUGUAAAUCUGUAACUGUAUCAUUAAUGAAAUAUUUUGGUGAAGCAAGACACUGGUUUAUGAAAGGUUUCACAACACGCACUCACAACCUCUGUCAAACAUGCUCAAUCUGCCUAAGUGACAACAUAGAGAGAGGAUUACAGGUUUCAUUAACAGCACAUCCACCACCAGAAGAACCAUGUGACCACCUGAUGAGGGAGAUUUUUAGCUAAACCCAAGCAAAGGCAAAAUAUACUGUUGAUGAUAGUUGAUAUGUUUCCAAAAUGGAUAGAAUUUUUUCCAACUUCAAAACUAGAUGGGUGCAACUGGAGCAAAAGCCCUGGUUUGUGAAAUCUUGCCAUGCUGGGGUGUGCCUUCCAAAAUCGACAGUGACGACAGAACACCUUUUGUAAGUGAAGCCAUGAAAACAACUUAUAUGGGCAUUGAUUUGAGACAACAUUGUUCCUACCACCCAGCAAUCGGUGGAGCAGUAGAGAAACGGAAUAGAAUGCUAAAAGUUAAGCUGGCUAAGUAUUGUGAAGACACAGGUCUUCCAUGAACAAAGGUGUUGCCGGUGGUGUUGAUGAGAACCAGGAUUAGAACCAGGUCAUGGUUUUAACACAUUUAUGAUUCUUUUGGGGCGCCCUCCACUAACAGGGACAGAGGCAACGAGCAGAGUACUGCCUGACACACAUCAUUGUGAGAAUGAUUGAAUGUUAGAAAGUAUUGCCAGACUUUGUCCUCUGCUCUUGCCCGUCUACAUCAGCAGGUUAAAGAGGCCUUACCCUCUCCAGCGACAGAACCACUGCACAGUCUCCUGCCUGGAGAUUUUGUGGUGGUUAAGGACUUCAGAAGAAAGCGCUGGAAGGCGCAGAGGUAGAACGGACCAUUUCAGGUGCUCCUGACAACAUAGACAGUGGUAGAAGUGGCUGAAAGAGCUACGUGGAUUCACGCCAGCCACUGCAGGAAGGUGCCUGCAACGGUACAACAAUAGAUUAGCAAGCCUGCACAAUCAGCAACUGAAACACUGUUUUCCCUGACCUUGUGUUGUGAGUGAAAAAGGGAUUGGGAACGCUUAGGCACCCUUUGUCUCGGACUCACAGGCUAUUAGACAGCAAACAUCAGCACAAGGGAGUUAGUGGGAAAACUCCUGGUCUCACCACUGCUGAUUUAAGUGACGCCAUCAAAACUAAGAGUGAGUAGCAUGGUUGUCUCAGGAAGGAGACAUCCUUGGGAGUCAGACACCCAAAUAUGUGUGGGCCUAGGAGGAGCAACACAUAUGUUUGCUGCCAUUGCAAUAACAUGAACAGUGCCUCUGUUGCAGUUCUUAGAUCACAAGCAUGAUGCACAAAAGCCACCACAACAGAACACCACAGUUAACUACAGGCAUUGACAUCAAAUAGCAGUGUUAGAGGCAAGAGAAGAAUCCAAAGAGGCUGGGAUCCUUUAAUAACUCCUGUUGUACGUUUGUGGCCAACAAUACAGUUCGAUGACCCGAGUGCUGGAAGGACUGCGUUCCCUACGAGAAGAACUUGCAGAGAACUCUGAAGUGGACACUAACAUGUUUGACUGGUCUGAGUCUGUCUUUGCUAAAUAAAAAGACCUUAGUGACGCCCACACUAGCAGGUCUAAUGAUUGCUGUAGCACUGUUAGCUCUCUGUGGAUGUUGCAUUAUUCCAUGUGCCAGAGGUCUGAUUGUAGGAGCUAUUGAUAAAUGUGAAUCUAUUAAAAUGAUCACACUCCAUGAACAAGGAUAUCUUUCCACUGUGAUGACAGGAAGGACCCAGAUUCAUUUUCUUGGUUAAACUGGUGUAGAUUACAUCAUGAUGACUUUCUAUGACCUGAUGAUCUUUUUGUAAUGCUGUAUAUACUUUAGUGAUCAAAGAAUGAUCACAAGGGAGGAGUAUGUGAUGGAAAUUUGAUAUUUUACUGUUUCACCCUGCAUGCUUCAUCAGAAUAGACCAAUGUUUCACUGUGUGGUAUUUCAUUAUUUUAUUAUGUUACAGCUCGGUGAAGUUUCCUUUAGCUGCGUAAUACCCUUACAGUAUAAAGUUUCUUCAAUGGCUCUUUGUUUUACACUCUGCAGACUGUUUGCACUCUGUAUGUCUGUCUGACCCUUUGCAAAGAAUAAAACCCUUAAAAGAU